UACGUAGGGGGCAAGCGUUGUCCGGAUUUAUUGGGCGUAAAGGGCGUGUAGGCGGGAAGGCAAGUCGGGCGUGAAAGCCCCAGGCUCAACCUGGGAACUGCACUCGAAACUGCCUUUCUUGAGUGCCGGAGAGGAAAGCGGAAUUCCUGGUGUAGAGGUGAAAUUCGUAGAUAUCAGGAGGAACACCAGUGGCGAAGGCGGCUUUCUGGACGGUAACUGACGCUGAGACGCGAAAGCGUGGGGAGCAAACAGG
rnacentral:rRNA from 1 species